rnacentral:rRNA from 1 species
UAAAUUAAAACUUUCAACAACGGAUCUCUUGGCUCUGGCAUCGAUGAAGAACGCAGCGAAAUGCGAUAAGUAAUGUGAAUUGCAGAAUCCAGUGAAUCAUCGAAUCUUUGAACGCACAUUGCGCCCGCCAGCAUUCUGGCGGGCAUGCCUGUUCGAGC